UAGGGAAUCUUCGGCAAUGGACGAAAGUCUGACCGAGCAACGCCGCGUGAGUGAAGAAGGUUUUCGGAUCGUAAAACUCUGUUGUUAGAGAAGAACAAGGACGUUAGUAACUGAACGUCCCCUGACGGUAUCUAACCAGAAAGCCACGGCUAACUACGUGCCAGCAGCCGCGGUAAUACGUAGGUGGCAAGCGUUGUCCGGAUUUAUUGGGCGUAAAGCGAGCGCAGGCGGUUUCUUAAGUCUGAUGUGAAAGCCCCCGGCGCAACCGGGGAGGGUCAUUGGAAACUGGGAGACUUGAGUGCAGAAGAGGAGAGUGGAAUUCCAUGUGUAGCGGUGAAAUGCGUAGAUAUAUGGAGGAACACCAGUGGCGAAGGCGGCUCUCUGGUCUGUAACUGACGAUGAGGCUCGAAAGCGUGGGGAGCAAACAGG
rnacentral:rRNA from 1 species